rnacentral:lncRNA from 1 species
CCAUCAAUAGUUUAUAAAAUAAAAUAUUUUUGUGGGAUAUUAUUUCAUCUCAGAAUAAGAACAAUUAAGAAUUUCCCUUUCGGGAGGGAAAGAAAAUUAGAACAUGGUUGAGAGAAUUCAAAACUUGUAUUCUAAAAAUUUUCUUAUGUUUACAAAUGAAAGAAUGGUCUCCUUUUAUAGGAGAAAAAGAGAGAAGAAACGUUUUUUUUUUAAAAGCAAGGAAUCUUUGCUUUUUUCAAAACGUCAAAAAGAAAACAGUAAAAGCUAUCCUAUCAAAUCUUACUUUAUAAAAUAGUAAGAUUUUUACAAAUUUUUUCAAAAAAAUAAACAGUAAAGAUUCUUCUUUUCGUACAAUAAUUCUUGAUUUCUAAAAAGUCUUUGAUUCUUUUCCUAGAAACUCUUGUCUUUUCUCCAGCUGUCUGAGAUAUCUGCAUCAAUUCUUUACACCUGUCUUAAAGAAUCUUUAUCUUGUUGCAUAAUUGUGUCUGCCAAUACUGUCUAAGGAGUCUCCUCCAUCAGUAAAAUCUUCUGGAUUAUCUUCUGAAUUGUUAUCUUUGGAGUCUUCCAAAUCUCUUUCUUGUUCAAUCUUCUUUUUACCUUUAUUUUUCUUUUUAAUUUGUAAUUUCUUUUUCUUUGUAGUACUUUGUUUAACUUGUUGCUGAAUAUCCUCAAUCUUAUCAAGCAUUUCUUUGAUCUUUCUAAUAUCUGAUUGAGAAAUAUGUUCUGGAUCUUGAGCUGAUUGGAAUGAUCCUGGAAAAUUAAUUGGGCUUCUCUGUUUAAGGUCUAUUGGACUAAUAAGUCUAGUAGCAGAAUUAUCAGUCUGCUGUGUCUGUUCUUUUAAAUUAAAUGUAACAGGAUUUUCAGCCUGUUGAGUCUGAGAAGUAGAGGAAUCAACAGUCCUCUGAGUCUGUUGAGCUUUUGGUAAGCCCAGAACCAUAAACGGAUUUGAUAGGUCUUUACCAGCUUCCGUUUGAGCUGGACUAGCUAUAGAAUUCUUGGGCUCUAUAGUACCUGUUUCUGUCUGAG